rnacentral:rRNA from 1 species
GUACACGCUGUGACUAGCAUAUCAAUAAGCGGAGGAAAAGAAACUAACAAGGAUUCCCCUAGUAACGGCGAGUGAAGCGGGAAGAGCUCAAAUUUGAAAUCUUAAAGGGUUUCCCUUUACGAAUUGUAGUUUAAAGAAGUGUUUUCUGUUGAGGUUUUGGUAAAAGUUCUUUGGAAUAGGACAUCAUAGAGGGUGAGAAUCCCGUAUUUGACCCUUACUUUCAACUUUGUGAUACACUUUCAAAGAGUCGGAUUGUUUGGGAAUGCAGUCCAAAAUGGGUGGUAAAUUUCAUCUAAAGCUAAAUAUUGGCGAGAGACCGAUAGCGAACAAGUACCGUGAGGGAAAGAUGAAAAGAACUUUGAAAAGAGAGUUAAACAGUACGUGAAAUUGUCAAAAGGGAAGCGUUUGACACCAGUGUUGUUUUUCCGAAAAUCAAUUAAUAGAAUGUUUAUGUUCUGAGGAGUGUAUGACUUCAUCAGCUAUCCUGUCUAGUCUUCCGAAGCUUUUGUAAUGCACUUUUCAGUUAACAAGUCAACAUCAAUUUCUUUUGUUGUAAAAGAGUAUUGCGGAAGGUGGCUUGCGAUUUCGGUAUAAGUGUUUAUAGCCCUAUACUUGCUAUGCAGUCGGAGAGAUUGAGGUCUGCAGCGUAGAUCCUUCGGGGUUAAAUAGCAUUUGUGCUAAGUUAUAGCAUUUUCAUAGACAACUUGUUGACUAUGAUUUAGUCUUGUAGCUUACUCGCUUAUGCUAUUUUACCUACGCUUAGGAUGUUGAUAUGCAUGACUGAUAU